UUAGGUUUUAAUUGAUGAUUGCUUAUGUGUGUUUUAAUUUGUUUAUGUGUGUUUUAAUUUAUGUGUUUAUUUUCUGUAAGCAAUAAGUUUACCAGAAGUUGAAUCUUGUUGAUGGUGGUCACUAACCUACUAUGAGUAUUUAGUACGGUUCUGCACUCUCCUCUCUUGUAUCUCUUCCUUUCCUGUGGAAUUUUUGCUUUGCUAAUAAUUCAUCCGUGUAUCUGUAACAUAUUUCUUGUUGGAGUUUAUUCUGUAUAGUAGAUCUUUUCAUGUUAUGUAGCUGAAAGAAUUGAACCAAUUAAUUAGAAGUAAAAACAAACAAAUAUACAAUUUUGGAUACUUACUUUAGUAUUUAUUUAUGAAAUUACUAUUUUUCUUUUUGUUCAACACUUGUUUCAGUUUGACAUGCCAAAGUGCUAAACUAAAUUCUAAUGCAUGUAGCUAAAGUGCUAAACCAACAAAACAUGUCACAAUCACAAGUUAAUUACCAGCCAGGAAUCCCAAUUCAUGAAUAUGGUAGUCCAAAACUUAACUUCAUAUGUAGUAAAUCAUCGUGGUUGAGCACUUGAGCUGAUAAAAUAAACACAUUACAAAAGAGAGGGAUAAUAUGAAAGUAAACUUAUUGCUUAGCUCUGAGUUCUUAAACCUCUAAAAGGACCCUCUCAGAAUUUAUUCAUAAGUUGCUUCUGUUUAUGUUUUUGUGAUUGAUUGCGACUGUUUUAUAUACAAGGUGCUGAAAAUAUUCGAGGAGCUGAAAAUAUGCAAGGACAUAGAGAUAUGCAAGGAGUUGAAAAUGUGUCAAAUAAUUGAAUUGUGGUUUUUGAAUAGCCACAGACUUAUUAAUUUUGGAUCUUGCAAAGCCUAUGGUAAAUGGUAUUUUGGAUCUUGCAGAGUCUGUUAAAGUGGGAAAUGGUAUUUUGGAAGAAGCAAAAACGGUUUGAAAGGAAGUGUUUAUAAGAAUUUCUCGCCGUAGAAAAAUUGAUUACAGGUCUGAAAGCAAGUGGUUUCAAAUUGAUGUUAGAAGAAAUAUGCAGAUAAACUUUUGUUUCAACUGAAAUUGUGCAGCUGAUUGGGUGCUAGAACUGGAAGUUAUAAGGAUGGAUAAGAAUUGGAAGUUAUGUUGGUUGUGUUAUUAAAUAGCUUGCCAAGUUUAUUUAUAAAAUUGUAUUAUGAACUUUGUUGCUACAGACUUUUAUGCCACUUAUCAUGAUGCUGCUACUGCCAUUAAUUAUAAUUAUAAAGUUGUAAUGAACUUUA